rnacentral:rRNA from 1 species
UACGUAGGGUGCAAGCGUUAAUCGGAAUUACUGGGCGUAAAGCGUGCGCAGGCGGUUUUGUAAGUCUGUCGUGAAAGCCCCGGGCUCAACCUGGGAAUUGCGAUGGAGACUGCAAGGCUUGAAUCUGGCAGAGGGGGGUAGAAUUCCACGUGUAGCAGUGAAAUGCGUAGAGAUGUGGAGGAACACCGGAUGGCGAAGGCAGCCCCCUGGGUCAAGAUUGACGCUCAUGCACGAAAGCGUGGGGAGCAAACAGGG